rnacentral:rRNA from 1 species
UACGUAGGGUGCAAGCGUUAAUCGGAAUUACUGGGCGUAAAAGCGUGCGCAGGCGGUUCGCUAAGACAGAUGUGAAAUCCCCCGGGCUUAACCUGGGAACUGCAUUUUGUGACUGGCGGGCUAGAGUAUGGCAGAGGGGGGGGUAGAAUUCCACGUGUAGCAGUGAAAAUGCGUAGAGAUGUGGAGGAAUACCGAUGGCGAAGGCAGCCCCCCCUGGGCCAAUAUGACGCUCAUUGCACGAAAGCGUGGGGGAGCAAAACAGG